UUAGACAUGUAUGUAGUCUUGGAAGAGGCGUCGACUUGAAGUAACAUUUUAGACCAUCGCAAUCAAUUAACAAAGAAAACCGUAAGAGAUAAAUUAAAGAGAUAGUUGCUAAAAAGUUGGGGGGAGGUAUUAGAACAGGUGCUGGAGACGUGGACUCAGGAGGUGAUAGAGAAGUGGACUCAAGAUGAACACAAGAGGGUGAAUAUGUAGGAGCGGGAUAGGAUUUUGAAGGAGGAGCAGGAUAGGAUGUUGUAGGAGGUGUGAGAG
rnacentral:lncRNA from 1 species